rnacentral:rRNA from 1 species
UACGUAGGUGGCAAGCGUUGUCCGGAAUCACUGGGCGUAAAGGGUGCGUAGGCGGGUCUUUAAGUCAGGGGUGAAAUCCUGGAGCUCAACUCCAGAACUGCCUUCGAUACUGGAGAGCUCGAGUCCGGGAGAGGUGAGUGGAACGUGCGAGUGUAGAGGUGAAAUUCGUAGAAUAUUCGCAAGAACACCAGUGGCGAAAGGCGGCUCA